rnacentral:antisense_RNA from 1 species
CUUCAACGAGCCCAUCCACAGGGUCUGUUCGCGGUCUUGGCCAUAGGUCGCCAGCAGCGCCUGCGCCUC